rnacentral:rRNA from 1 species
GACGAACGCUGGCGGCGUGCUUAACACAUGCAAGUCGAGCGGUAAGGCCCUUUCGGGGGUACGACGAGCGGCGAACGGGUGAGUAACACGUGGGUGACCUGCCCUCAGCUCUGGGAUAAGCCUGGGAAACCGGGUCUAAUACUGGAUAUGACUCCAUGACGCAUGUUGUGGGGUGGAAAGCCUUGUGCGGCUGAGGAUGGGCCCGCGGCCUAUCAGCUUGUUGGUGGGGUGAUGGCCUACCAAGGCGACGACGGGUAGCCGGCCUGAGAGGGCGACCGGCCACACUGGGACUGAGACACGGCCCAGACUCCUACGGGAGGCAGCAGUGGGGAAUCUUGCGCAAUGGGCGAAAGCCUGACGCAGCGACGCCGCGUGAGGGAUGACGGCCUC